CCUACGGGAGGCAGCAGUGAGGAAUAUUGGUCAAUGGCCGGAAGGCUGAACCAGCCAUGCCGCGUGAAGGUCAGUGCCCUAUGGGCGUUAAACUUCUUUUGUGCGGGAGCAAUAAUGGUCACGUGUGGCCAGACGAGAGUACCGUACGAAUAAGCAUCGGCUAACUCCGUGCCAGCAGCCGCGGUAAUACGGGGGAUGCAAGCGUUAUCCGGAUUUAUUGGGGUUAAAGGGUGCGUAGGCUGUGAGGUAAGUCAGCGGUGAAAUGCCCGCGCUCAACGGGGUGAAGUGCCAUUGAUACUGCCUUGCUGGAAUGCGGAUGCCGUGGGAGGAAUGUGUGGUGUAGCGGUGAAAUGCAUAGAUAUCACACAGAACACCGAUUGCGAAGGCAUCUCACGAAUCCGCGAUUGACGCUGAUGCACGAAAGCGUGGGUAUCAAACAGGAUUAGAUACCCGUGUAGUC
rnacentral:rRNA from 1 species